rnacentral:rRNA from 1 species
GACGAACGCUGGCGGCGUGCCUAAUACAUGCAAGUCGAACGCAUUUUCUUUCACCGUAGCUUGCUACACCGAAAGAAAAUGAGUGGCGAACGGGUGAGUAACACGUGGGUAACCUGCCCAUCAGCGGGGGAUAACACUUGGAAACAGGUGCUAAUACCGCAUAAUUCCAUUUACCGCAUGGCAGAUGGGUGAAAGGCGCUUUUGCGUCACUGAUGGAUGGACCCGCGGUGCAUUAGCUAGUUGGUGGGGUAACGGCCUACCAAGGCUGCGAUGCAUAGCCGACCUGAGAGGGUGAUCGGCCACACUGGGACUGAGACACGGCCCAGACUCCUACGGGAGGCAGCAGUAGGGAAUCUUCGGCAAUGGACGCAAGUCUGACCGAGCAACGCCGCGUGAGUGAAGAAGGUUUUCGGAUCGUAAAACUCUGUUGUUAGAGAAGAACAAGGAUGAGAGUGGAAAGUUCAUCCCUUGACGGUAUCUAACCAGAAAGCCACGGCUAACUACGUG